rnacentral:rRNA from 1 species
CACUCUAGAGAGACUGCCAGGGAUAACCUGGAGGAAGGUGGGGAUGACGUCAAAUCAUCAUGCCCCUUAUGCUUAGGGCUACACACGUGCUACAAUGGGUAGUACAGAGGGUUGCCAAGCCGUAAGGCGGAGCUAAUCCCUUAAAGCUACUCUCAGUUCGGAUUGUAGGCUGAAACUCGCCUACAUGAAGCUGGAGGUACUAGUAAUCGCAGAUCAGAAUGCUGCGGUGAAUGCGUUCCCGGGUCUUGUACACAACGCCCGUCACCCCACGGGAGUUGGAGACGCCCGAAGCCGAGUAUCUAACCUGUUGGCAGAGGACGUCGAAGGGGGCAUUAAUACCUGGGGUGAAGACGGAACAAGGUAGCCGUAUCGGAAGGUGCGGCUGGAUCACCUCCUUUCUAAGGAGA